rnacentral:rRNA from 1 species
CGUGUAGGCGGUCUGGUAAGUCAGAUGUGAAAGCCCUGGGCCCAACCCAGGAAGUGCAUUUGAAACUGCCAUUCUUGAGUAUGGGAGAGGAGAGUGGAAUUCCCAGUGUAGAGGUGAAAUUCGUAGAUAUUGGGAGGAACACCCGUGGCGAAGGCGGCUCUCUGGACCAAUACUGACGCUGAGACGCGAAAGCGUGGGGAGCAAACA